GAUGAACGCUAGCGGCAGGCCUAAUACAUGCAAGUCGGACGGGAUUCACCAGCUUGCUGGUGAUGAGAGUGGCGCACGGGUGCGUAACGCGUGAGCAACCUGCCCAUAUCAGGGGGAUAGCCCGGAGAAAUCCGGAUUAAGACCGCAUAAUACAGAUUGACUGCAUGGUUAAACUGUUAAAUAUUUAUAGGAUAUGGAUGGGCUCGCGUGACAUUAGCUAGUUGGUAGGGUAACGGCCUACCAAGGCGACGAUGUCUAGGGGCUCUGAGAGGAGAAUCCCCCACACUGGUACUGAGACACGGACCAGACUCCGACGGGAGGCAGCAGUAAGGAAUAUUGGUCAAUGGAGGCAACUCUGAACCAGCCAUGCCGCGUGCAGGAAGACGGCCCUACGGGUUGUAAACUGCUUUUGUACGGGAAUAACCCCCAAUACGGGUAUUGGGCUGAAUGUACCGUAAGAAUAAGGAUCGGCUAACUCCGUGCCAGCCGCCGCCGUAA
rnacentral:rRNA from 1 species